GACGAACGCUGGCGGCGUGCUUAACACAUGCAAGUCGAACGGUAAGGCCCCUUCGGGGGUACACGAGUGGCGAACGGGUGAGUAACACGUGAGCAACCUGCCCUUGACUCUGGAAUAACAGUUGGAAACAGCUGCUAAUACUGGAUAUUCAUCGUCUCCUUCCUGGGGGGUGGUGGAAAGCUCCGGCGGUCAGGGAUGGGCUCGCGGCCUAUCAGCUUGUUGGUGAGGUAAUGGCUCACCAAGGCUUCGACGGGUAGCCGGCCUGAGAGGGCGACCGGCCACACUGGGACUGAGAGACGGCCCAGACUCCUACGGGAGGCAGCAGUGGGGAAUAUUGCACAAUGGGCGCAAGCCUGAUGCAGCAACGCCGCGUGCGGGAUGACGGCCUUCGGGUUGUAAACCGCUUUCAGUAGGGACGAAGGGUGACUGACGGUACCUACAGAAGAAGGGCCGGCUAACUACGUGC
rnacentral:rRNA from 1 species